UACGUAGGGUGCAAGCGUUAAUCGGAAUUACUGGGCGUAAAGCGUGCGCAGGCGGUGAUGUAAGACAGUUGUGAAAUCCCCGGGCUCAACCUGGGAACUGCAUCUGUGACUGCAUCGCUGGAGUGCGGCAGAGGGGGAUGGAAUUCCGCGUGUAGCAGUGAAAUGCGUAGAUAUGCGGAGGAACACCGAUGGCGAAGGCGAUCCCCUGGGCCUGCACUGACGCUCAUGCACGAAAGCGUGGGGAGCAAACAGG
rnacentral:rRNA from 1 species